rnacentral:rRNA from 1 species
GAUGAACGCUGGCGGCGUGCCUAAUACAUGCAAGUCGAGCGAACGGACGAGAAGCUUGCUUCUCUGAUGUUAGCGGCGGACGGGUGAGUAACACGUGGAUAACCUACCUAUAAGACUGGGAUAACUUCGGGAAACCGGAGCUAAUACCGGAUGAUAUUUUGAACCUCAUGGGUCAAAAGUUAAAGACGGUCUUGCUGUCACUUAUAGAUGGAUCCGCGAUGCAUUAGCUAGUUGGUAAGGUAACGGCUUACCAAGGCAACGAUGCAUAGCCGACCUGAGAGAGUGAUCGGCCACACUGGAACUGAGACACGGUCCAGACUCCUACGGGAGGCAGCAGUAGGGAAUCUUCCGCAAUGGGCGAAAGCCUGACGGAGCAACGCCGCGUGAGUGAUGAAGGUAUUCGGAUCGUAAAACUCUGUUAUUAGGGAAGAACAUAUGUGUAAGUAACUGUGCACAUCUUGACGGUACCUAAUCAGAAAGCCACGGCUAACUCCGUG